UAGGGUGACCAAUUGUCCCAGUUUUCCCAGGACUGUCCUGGUUUUAAAAUGUAAAGUCCUACAUCUUGGGAAACCCCUCAGUCCUGGGCAAACUGGGAUGCUUGGUCACCUUACUGCACC
rnacentral:pre_miRNA from 4 species